rnacentral:rRNA from 1 species
UACGUAGGGUCCGAGCGUUAAUCGGAAUUACUGGGCGUAAAGCGUGCGCAGGCGGUUUUGUAAGCCAGUCGUGAAAUCCCCGGGCUCAACCUGGGAAUGGCGAUUGGGACUGCAAGGCUCGAGUGCGGCAGAGGGGGGUGGAAUUCCACGUGUAGCAGUGAAAUGCGUAGAUAUGUGGAGGAACAUCAAUGGCGAAGGCAGCCCCCUGGGUCGACACUGACGCUCAUGCACGAAAGCGUGGGGAGCAAAC